rnacentral:ncRNA from 1 species
UCGUAAGGCUCGACAUAAUGGGCCCCUCAAAGAGAAAUCUUUGAGUGUGUAUUCACCAAAUUCGGGGAAAUCCUACUCCGUCAAAAGACGGAACGACAAUCCCGAGCUAAAUUCUUUAAUUUAAUUAGAGAUAAAUGUGUAGAGACUAGAUGGUGAACUCCUUAAUUUUUUUCAAAAAAGGAGAUGGUAUAGUCCAGACCCCAAAUCCAUUAAAUGAUGGAG